AGACAAGGGGCAUUUCCCCUUGCCACCACGUUAGAAAUAGGAAGGACCUUCCGGGAAGAAGGGGAAAGGGGCAGAGCUGGGCAAAGCCCCGCAGCCUCAGGCAGGAGGCCUGGGUGAGCACUGCUUCUCAGGCCUGGGAGGGAGAGGGUCCUGGUGUGGGGUCCCUGCUGAGUCUGAGGGAGGCAGUGGGGUUUCCCUUUCUGUUUUGUUAGGGUCUUCAAGAAGUCGAGCCCUAACUGCAAGCUCACCGUGUACUUGGGCAAGCGGGACUUC
rnacentral:sRNA from 1 species